GAAGCGUCCUCAGCGACGGACCG
rnacentral:snRNA from 1 species